AGCUAUUCUUAGGUACGUCAUUAUCUUCCCUAAUAAAAGGAGUUUACACACCGAAAUGCGUCAUCCUCCACGCGGCGUUGCUGCAUCAGAGUUUCCUCCAUUGUGCAAUAUUCCUCACUGCUGCCUCCCGUAGGA
rnacentral:rRNA from 1 species